GUUUCAAUAAUCUUACAAAUUUUUAAAUUGGCCUAAACUACUCCGCUGUUUAGCUGUUGUUGCCAUUCUGUCAACGUUAUAAAACAGCUCCCAUGUCGCAACGAGCUUUGAUAUCGCUAGGAAGACGUGAAAAUUACUCGUUUGACGGUGUUCCAAGAAUUUAAGACUACAAAUUUUUCAUCCCUUUUGUCUCGCAUGACGCAUUUCUUUGUUUUGCAAGCGCGUCGUCGAGCUGGCUGCGUCGUGAAUCGUAAACUCUCU